UCCUGUCUGAAUAUGGGGGGACCAUCCUCCAAGGCUAAAUACUCCUGACUGACCGAUAGUGAACCAGUACCGUGAGGGAAAGGCGAAAAGAACCCCGGCGAGGGGAGUGAAAAAGAACCUGAAACCGUGUACGUACAAGCAGUGGGAGCCCCACCACUAAGCCAGUGGUGAACUCCACAUACGCAUCCUUUGCUGAGGAUACGGUUAACGGAGCGAAAGCGACGUUCAACCGCAAAAGAAGCAGAGGGGGCUUAGUGGUGGGGUGACUGCGUACCUUUUGUAUAAUGGGUCAGCGACUUAUAUUCUGUAGCAAGGUUAACCGAAUAGGGGAGCCGGAGGGAAACCGAGUCUUAACCGGGCGUUAAGUUGCAGGGUAUAGACCCGAAACCCGGUGAUCUAGCCAUGGGCAGGUUGAAGGUUGGGUAACACUAACUGGAGGACCGAACCGACUAAUGUUGAAAAAUUAGCGGAUGACCUGUGGCUGGGGGUGAAAGGCCAAUCAAACCGGGAGAUAGCUGGUUCUCCCCGAAAGCUAUUUAGGUAGCGCCUCGUGAAUUCAUCUCCGGGGGUAGAGCACUGUUUCGGCUAGGGGGCCAUCCCGGCUUACCAACCCGAUGCAAACUGCGAAUACCGGAGAAUGUUAUCACGGGAGACACACGGCGGGUGCUAACGUCCGUCGUGAAGAGGGAAACAACCCAGACCGCCAGCUAAGGUCCCAAAGUCAUGGUUAAGUGGGAAACGAUGUGGGAAGGCCCAGACAGCCAGGAUGUUGGCUUAGAAGCAGCCAUCAUUUAAAGAAAGCGUAAUAGCUCACUGGUCGAGUCGGCCUGCGCGGAAGAUGUAACGGGGCUAAACCAUGCACCGAAGCUGCGGCAGCGACACUCAGGUGUUGUUGGGUAGGGGAGCGUUCUGUAAGCCUGUGAAGGUGUGCUGUGAGGCAUGCUGGAGGUAUCAGAAGUGCGAAUGCUGACAUAAGUAACGAUAAAGCGGGUGAAAAGCCCGCUCGCCGGAAGACCAAGGGUUCCUGUCCAACGUUAAUCGGGGCAGGGUGAGUCGACCCCUAAGGCGAGGCCGAAAGGCGUAGUCGAUGGGAAACGGGUUAAUAUUCCCGUACUUGGUGUUACUGCGAAGGGGGGACGGAGAAGGCUAUGUUGGCCGGGCGACGGUUGUCCCGGUUUAAGCGUGUAGGUGUGUGUUCCAGGUAAAUCCGGUUCACUUUAACACUGAGGCGUGACGACGAGGCACUACGGUGCUGAAGCAACAAAUGCCCUGCUUCCAGGAAAAGCCUCUAAGCAUCAGGUAACAUCAAAUCGUACCCCAAACCGACACAGGUGGUCAGGUAGAGAAUACCAAGGCGCUUGAGAGAACUCGGGUGAAGGAACUAGGCAAAAUGGUGCCGUAACUUCGGGAGAAGGCACGCUGACAUGUAGGUGAAGUGAUUUACUCAUGGAGCUGAAGUCAGUCGAAGAUACCAGCUGGCUGCAACUGUUUAUUAAAAACACAGCACUGUGCAAACACGAAAGUGGACGUAUACGGUGUGACGCCUGCCCGGUGCCGGAAGGUUAAUUGAUGGGGUCAGCGCAAGCGAAGCUCCUGAUCGAAGCCCCGGUAAACGGCGGCCGUAACUAUAACGGUCCUAAGGUAGCGAAAUUCCUUGUCGGGUAAGUUCCGACCUGCACGAAUGGCGUAAUGAUGGCCAGGCUGUCUCCACCCGAGACUCAGUGAAAUUGAACUCGCUGUGAAGAUGCAGUGUACCCGCGGCAAGACGGAAAGACCCCGUGAACCUUUACUAUAGCUUGACACUGAACAUUGAGCCUUGAUGUGUAGGAUAGGUGGGAGGCUUUGAAGUGUGGACGCCAGUCUGCAUGGAGCCGGCCUUGAAAUACCACCCUUUAAUGUUUGAUGUUCUAACGUGGACCCGUGAUCCGGGUUGCGGACAGUGUCUGGUGGGUAGUUUGACUGGGGCGGUCUCCUCCUAAAGAGUAACGGAGGAGCACGAAGGUUGGCUAAUCCUGGUCGGACAUCAGGAGGUUAGUGCAAUGGCAUAAGCCAGCUUGACUGCGAGCGUGACGGCGCGAGCAGGUGCGAAAGCAGGUCAUAGUGAUCCGGUGGUUCUGAAUGGAAGGGCCAUCGCUCAACGGAUAAAAGGUACUCCGGGGAUAACAGGCUGAUACCGCCCAAGAGUUCAUAUCGACGGCGGUGUUUGGCACCUCGAUGUCGGCUCAUCACAUCCUGGGGCUGAAGUAGGUCCCAAGGGUAUGGCUGUUCGCCAUUUAAAGUGGUACGCGAGCUGGGUUUAGAACGUCGUGAGACAGUUCGGUCCCUAUCUGCCGUGGGCGCUGGAGAACUGAGGGGGGCUGCUCCUAGUACGAGAGGACCGGAGUGGACGCAUCACUGGUGUUCGGGUUGUCAUGCCAAUGGCACUGCCCGGUAGCUAAAUGCGGAAGAGAUAAGUGCUGAAAGCAUCUAAGCACGAAACUUGCCCCGAGAUGAGUUCUCCCUGAGACUU
rnacentral:rRNA from 1 species